rnacentral:lncRNA from 1 species
GUUGCUUUAAAUGUCCCUGAUAACACGCCGCUCCUUCCUACCCGCAGUCGCACAGCUCAGAGCACCGCUACACCACAAAGCCGGGCAGACACUGCCAGACCGCCACCUCCGGGGGCAGUCAGGGCAUCCCUUGCCCUCGGCAUAGCCCUGCCGUAAUGUGACACCAUCCGAGCUUUGCAAUCACUGACAUCACCGCCGGACACAGACUCGGCCCUGCGACGUCCCGAAAUGCAGCAGCCCUCUCCCAUACAAGCCCCGGCUGGCCGAACUGAGAGGGGCUGAGCCGGAGGGCGAAGGAACGGAUCUGCCCGUUGCCCACUGCGCCCCAAGCACCGCUGCUGGCCCCGCUCCUACCGCUCCCCGAGGCGCCAGAACGGCACAAUGAGAACUUCUGUCCCCGCCGCCGCCGCCCCGCACCCACCUGCCGAGGUCCUCGCCGGUCUCAUAGUGCUCCUCCAGGUUCUCCUGCCGAAACACCGUCAUGGUAGCGUCGCGCUACACCGCUGACCGCCGCCUUCAGCCCCUGCUCGACGCCCUCAUCACCGCCACGCCGGGGCCGCCCCACGCCCUGCGGAGGAGCGCGGAUGUGAACGCCCGCCCUCUGCCGCGCCGCACCGCCCCCGCCUCCCACGACCCCCGCCCCUUCCCCGGGGCGCCGCCCGCCCACCGCAUUCCACCGCGGUUCCGCUACCCAUCGGGGGCUAGGCACUCCCCGGCCUCCCCGCACCUGACCCCGGCGAGGUUUUACACUGCAUUGGAUGAAAUGUGGCUGACAUGCCAGAAGGCUGUGCUGCCAUUCAGCAGGACCUGGACAGGCUGGAGAACUAGGUGGUAAGGAAUCAGAUGAGGUUUAACAAAACAAGUAUAGAGUCUUGCACCUGGGAAUGGAU